UUGCUCGCUUCGGCAGCACGCACACUCAAAUUGGAGUAAUAGAGAAGAUUGGCAUGGCCCCUGUGCAAUGAUGACAUGCAGAUUCGUGAAGCGUUGCAUAUUUUA